CCUACGGGAGGCAGCAGUGAGGAAUAUUGGUCAAUGGACGAGAGUCUGAACCAGCCAAGUAGCGUGAAGGAUGACUGCCCUAUGGGUUGUAAACUUCUUUUAUAUGGGAAUAAAAUGUUCCACGUGUGGGAUUUUGUAUGUACCAUAUGAAUAAGGAUCGGCUAACUCCGUGCCAGCAGCCGCGGUAAUACGGAGGAUUCGAGCGUUAUCCGGAUUUAUUGGGUUUAAAGGGAGCGUAGGUGGAUUGUUAAGUCAGUUGUGAAAGUUUGCGGCUCAACCGUAAAAUUGCAGUUGAAACUGGCAGUCUUGAGUACAGUAGAGGUGGGCGGAAUUCGUGGUGUAGCGGUGAAAUGCUUAUAUAUCACGAAGAACUCCGAUUGCGAAGGCAGUUCACUGGACUGCAACUGACACUGAGGCUCGAAAGUGUGGGUAUCAAACAGGAUUAGAUACCCCAGUAGUC
rnacentral:rRNA from 1 species